UGUGUAGGCGGUUGUUUAAGUUUGGUGUGAAAUCUCCCGGCUCAACUGGGAGGGUGCGCCGAAUACUGAAUGACUAGAGUGCGGGAGAGGAGAGUGGAAUUCCUGGUGUAGCGGUGAAAUGCGUAGAUAUCAGGAGGAACACCGGCGGUGUAGGCGGCUCUCUGGACCGUAACUGACGCUGAGACACGAAAGCGUGGGGAGCAAACAGGAUUAGAUACCCUGGUAGUCCACGCCCUAAACGAUGCGCAUUUGGUGUGGGUCAUUCAGUUGAUCCGUGCCGGAGCUAACGCGUUAAAUGCGCCGCCGUGGGGAGUACAGUCGCAAGGCUGAA
rnacentral:rRNA from 1 species